ensembl:lncRNA
AUACACUGCUCUGAUAGGAUAGUCUGAUAGGUUAGUUUAAUACUCUGCUCUGAUAGGUUAGUCUGAUAGGUUAGUUUAAUACACUGCUCUGAUAGGAUAGUCUGUUAGGGUAGUUUAAUACACUGCUCUGAUAGGGUAGUUUAAUACACUGCUCUGAUAGGUUAGUUUAAUACACUGCUCUGAUAGGGUAGUUUAAUACACUGCUCUGAUAGGGUAGUUUUAUACACUGCUCUGAUAGGUUAGUUUAAUACACUGCUCUGAUAGGUUAGUUUAAUACACUGCUCUGAUAGGGUAGUUUAAUACACUGCUCUGAUAGGGUAGUUUAAUACACUGCUCUGAAGACUGUUGAUGCCAUUGGAGAUCCACAAACUGACUGUGGAAUGUUUUGGUUCCUGAUAUAUGUAGGGGUCAAAUCUGAAGCCCUAUUCUCUAUGUAGUGCACUAAGGGGAUAGUAGGGGUCAAAUCUGAAGCCCUAUUCUCUAUGUAGUGCACUAAGGGGAUAGUAGGGGUCAAAUCUGAAGCCCUAUUCUCUAUGUAGUGCACUAAGGGGAUAGUAGGGGUCAAAUCUGAAGCCCUAUUCUCUAUGUAGUGCACUAAGGGCAUAGUAGGGGUCAAAUCUGAAGCCCUAUUCUCUAUGUAGUGCACUAAGGGGAUAGUAGGGGUCAAAUCUGAAGCCCUAUUCUCUAUGUAGUGCACUAAGGGGAUAGUAGGGGUCAAAUCUGAAGCCCUAUUCUCUAUGUAGUGCACUAAGGGGACAGUAGGGGUAAAAUCUGAAGCCCUAUUCUCUAUGUAGUGCACUAAGGGGAUAGUAGGGGUCAAAUCUGAAGCCCUAUUCUCUAUGUAGUGCACUAAGGGGAUAGUAGGGGUCAAAUCUGAAGCCCUAUUCUCUAUGUAGUGCACUAAGGGGAUAGUAGGGGUCAAAUCUGAAGCCCUAUUCUCUAUGUAGUGCACUAAGGGCAUAGUAGGGGUCAAAUCUGAAGCCCUAUUCUCUAUGUAGUGCACUAAGGGGACAGUAGGGGUCAAAUCUGAAGCCCUAUUCUCUAUGUAGUGCACUAAGGGGACAGUAGGGGUCAAAUCUGAAGCCCUAUUCUCUAUGUAGUGCACUAAGGGGAUAGUAGGGGUCAAAUCUGAAGCCCUAUUCUCUAUGUAGUGCACUAAGGGCAUAGUAGGGGUCAAAUCUGAAG